rnacentral:rRNA from 1 species
GUACACGCUGUGACUAGCAUAUCAAUAAGCGGAGGAAAAGAAACUAACAAGGAUUCCCUCAGUAACGGCGAGUGAAGCGGAAAGAGCUCAAAUUUGAAAUCUUGAAAGGUCACCUUUCACGAAUUGUAGUUUAAAGAAGUGUUUUCUGUUACGAUCGUAAUAUAAGUUCUUUGGAAUAGGACAUCACAGAGGGUGAGAAUCCCGUCUAUGAUUGCGAUUUGUAGCUUUGUGAUACACUUUCAAAGAGUCGGGUUGUUUGGGUAAUGCAGCCCAAAACGGGAGGUAAAUUUCUUCUAAGGCUAAAUAUUGGCGAGAGACCGAUAGCGAACAAGUACCGUGAGGGAAAGAUGAAAAGAACUUUGAAAAGAGAGUUAAAUAGUACGUGAAAUUGUCAAAAGGGAAGCGUUUAACACCAGUGUUGUUUUCUGAGAAUCAACCUCUGUUAGCUUUAUGCAUGUUUGUUUAGACCUAAUCAGCUAUCUUGCAUGUUCUAUUGUUUGCAGUGGUGCACUUUUCAGUUUACAGGUCAACAUCAGUUUUUUUUACCGUAAAAAAGUUAAAGAAAGGUAGCUCAUGGCUCCGGUCGUGAGUGUUAUAGUCUUUUUCCUAUGCGGUAGGAGAGACUGAGGUCUGCAGUGUAGGCUAUUUGGCUAGAUACUCAGGUGCUAUGUGAUACCAUUUCAUAAACAACUUGUUGAUUAUGUUUUGUCUAUUGCAUACUCGCUUGUACUAUCAUACCUACGCUUAGGAUGUUGAGUAGCGACAUACGCAC